UAAUUGAAGAGUUUGAUCAUGGCUCAGAUUGAACGCUGGCGGCAGGCCUAACACAUGCAAGUCGAGCGGCAGCACAGAGGAACU
rnacentral:rRNA from 1 species